rnacentral:piRNA from 1 species
UACAUCCCAUGUUGUGUCCAGUUGGCA